UACAGAGGGUGCGAGCGUUGUCCGGAAUCACUGGGCGUAAAGGGCGCGUAGGCGGCUUGAUAAGCGUGCGGUGAAAGCCCGGGCUCAACCCCGGGUCGGCCGUGCGAACUGUCGAGCUGGAGCACUGUAGAGGCAGGUGGAAUUCCGGGUGUAGCGGUGGAAUGCGUAGAGAUCCGGAAGAACACCGGUGGCGAAGGCGGCUCACUGGACUGGUAUGACGCUGAGGUGCGAAAGCGUGGGGAGCAAACAGG
rnacentral:rRNA from 1 species